AGCUGGUCAUCGGGAGCGAUGUCGUUGGUAGCGCGUACAUCGGGCUAAGGAUCAAUACGCAGUUACUGCUGUUCUGUUUUGUUAAAGUUUCUCCGAUCGCGUUUUGAACGUGCCUAAAAGAAAAAUCGUACGAAUCUUUUACAUGUGAGCCUGGUGUCCAGUUCUGGUUUAUUGUUAGUGACAACUCGGGAAGUAGUGUUCAGUUUGAUCUACAUGUUUGUAAAAAGUGCUUAACAAUCAGUAGAUACAGAAAGACCUAUAUCAUUGGGAGUUUCGUGAAUUCCGUAACUCGGAAAUUUUUCCAUGAGCGGUGGUGCGCAGUGUCUUUGUAUCGUGACCACCACGUGUCGAUGCUCCCGAGCGGUCCGCAAUUCGUCUAAACGAAUUUGAGGCUUUCAAUUGGUCAAGUUCACCGCAGUACUUAUUCAACUCCCAACCACGAAGGGCAGGAGUUACAUGGCAUCGCACAAUUCGUUUACAGGUACUCGGAGAUGCUGUCGCCGCAGUUAUGACCCCC
rnacentral:lncRNA from 1 species